rnacentral:rRNA from 1 species
AACGAACGCUGGCGGCAGGCCUAACACAUGCAAGUCGAACGCUGUAGCAAUACAGAGUGGCAGACGGGUGAGUAACACGUGGGAAUCUUCCUAUCGGUACGGAAUAGCUCAGGGAAACUUGGGGUAAUACCGCAUACGCCCUUCGGGGGAAAGAUUUAUCGCCGUUAGAUGAGCCCGCGUCUGAUUAGCUAGUUGGUGAGGUAAUGACUCACCAAGGCGACGAUCAGUAGCUGGUCUGAGAGGAUGACCAGCCACACUGGGACUGAGACACGGCCCAGACUCCUACGGGAGGCAGCAGUGGGGAAUAUUGGACAAUGGGCGCAAGCCUGAUCCAGCCAUGCCGCGUGAGUGACGAAGGUCUUCGGAUUGUAAAGCUCUUUUGCCAGGGACGAUAAUGACGGUACCUGGAGAAUAAGCCCCGGCUAACUUCGUGCCAGCAGCCGCCGCAGUAA